AGAGGUAUGACAAAGAGUCAUCCUGUUGAUUGCUCGUUCUAGGAAGCCGAUUUAUUUACAACUUUCAGGUCGCGUAUUUAUAACACCGAGCCUUAUCACUUCCCGCGGGGAGGAAAAAAAUUUGUUUACAAGAUCCCCUUCGACGUAAAUGGGACAACGCCUCCUGAGACCUCGCUCGCGGAGCAUGACCGAUCGUACGCAGUAAUCGAAAGGCAACCGUGCUUGUAACAUCAAACAAGUCUAUCGUUACUCUUAUACGUUAAUAGUGGGGAAAGAUAAUUCUUCCCUAAAACUUUAGAAAUUUCUACAAUCUUCACUCUUUGGGACUUCAAAAUCAAGAACAGAGGAAAAACUGGACCUGCAUCCUUUAGGACUCAUUGGGACACCAAACCAAGAACAGAGGCUAAAAUGGACCUGCAUCCUUUAGGACACAUUGGGACCUCCAAACCAAGGUAUCAACUUCCUAAAUAACUUCACAAAAAACUCAAAAAUAACCGUUCCACUCCCCUCGCAUAUCCAAACUAAAUAACAAAUAAUUAAUUUACAGAACCGAGGUAAAAAUGGGCCUGCGUCCAAACUCCGUCAGUCUCUCCGCUUGGCCGUCGUCCAAUCCGCAACAACCGCGUUACAAAGUGCCUGGAGAAAAUUCUGCGCCCGUCCGAGGCUUUAAAUUCGCCAGGGGGUUCCGUCGUUGAGGGUGGCCGGAGAAUCCGCCCCCGACCAGCAAACGUGGAAUGUUUCACGAACGUCGGGCACGCGUUUCCAAUUCCCCCGUCGCGGUCUCAUUCUGCUCUUCCUCGGUCGGUUAUUGUGCACCACGCGUCAAAGAAGACAUCACGCGGCUCGCGAUCGCAAAGAGGCCUUCCAGCUUCGACCGUGGACAAUUAGAUUCACGCAGUUGCCCAGAAGUUGGACCAACACUGGCCACACCCAUUGUGGAAGCGACCCCACGAGUUUUUGCCUUUAGUUGUCUGGCCAGCGUCCCGGGCGUUGUCGGGCUUGUUGGACAGCCGAUGGGACAACCGGGCAAAUUGUUUCGCGGAUCGUCCUGCCAGCCGAAACUAGCGACCUUAAAGCGGGACUUCAAUGGGGUUAAAUUGCGAUAAAAGGACUGGCCGAGGCUACGACCAGGUGUAAAGUAGACGUCAAGGGAACCGGAGGAGCCUGGGCUAGGAUUCUCUUCUCUUCACGCAACUACGUGGAUGAAAUUCAUUCUCGUUCUUCAUUCUGAAAUCCGCAGUUUCCAAAUCAGAGAAAAGAGAUGAUCGUCGAAACACAAAAGAACACCUCGGCACAAAAGAAAUUCCCAAGGAGCGUUUCUGAUAGCGUGAAGAUCAAGGAUACGUUCGCAUCUCCCUCCCGAAGGAAGAUUGAAUUUCCCUCCAACCGAACUUGGCUGAUUGCAAUUGAAAGUGCUUCCCACGACUCUGGCUCACAAUCGAUCCGUCACGUCUCGAUUCGUCGACAAAGAGUCUCUCUAGUCUACGAUUUUCGAGGCUACCACGCGAUCUUCGGCUGGCUGGAUUUCACAUGCCUCAUGAAUCAUGGGAUUUGUAGAUGAAUUAAGUCCCAUCGCGUGGACCCGUUUUCAAUUCGAGACCGCGGCUAACUCCACCUCGAAAACGGACCCAGCCGGUGGUCCUAGCUGGGGUGGUAAAGUACCGGUCAUUGUGGUCCGCUGUCGCUCGAAUCCCUCUCCGUCCCUUUCGGCCACCCCUUUCCUCGUCCGCUCGUUGCUUCCAAUGUUGCGUGGAUCUUUUUAAAACCGGAUUCAAGGAUGCACAGGUGGCCAUUCGGCUCGAUGGAAAUGAAAAACGGCGCGUCUCUAUGGGACAAAUUAAUCUGAACUGCCUCCGAAUUAAACGGAGGAGGCUAAAUCUGGAUUUGAUCUCUGGAAAGCCGCGGUCGAUGGCGAUACCUUCCUUUCUGUGCAUCGUUAACGGACCGUACACGUGAUUUAUUAUUUUUCGUUCUCGGAAAACUAUAAAACGCCUUCUGUAUCUCGCGUUAUGAAUAGGGUAAUUAGGUGAGCAGGGGCGAAGAUGAUGGAGGGACCAUUCGAGGGAGGUUUUCGUGAGACGUCCUUGGAGGGAUGGAGUACAACUUUGGAGAAGUGUUUAAAUGAACGGUAAUGUCAUACUUCUUACUUAAGGAUGAAUGAAAUGAUAUUCGUCAUAAAGUUCAGAAAUGCGACGAAAUAAUGAUCAUUGAUUUUUUAAAUUCCAUUUAUAAUAUAAAUUCAAACAAAUAUCGUGGAAUGCAUAAGCUUUCAUCUAACGAUAUGUAAAAUUAAUAAGAAAAAAUAGCCAAAAAAUGAUCCUCAGUAAUGCAGACUCAUUUGUACCUGUAUUAUUUAUUUAACAUUCGAGUGAUCAUUUAUAAUAGAACACCAAGGGUACCGCAGUUUAGUCUUCAAAUAUUUACUGAUUUCUUUUUUCGUUCGAAGAA